rnacentral:tRNA from 1 species
CGUGACAUUUCACUUGUUGAUGUGAACGACAUGAGGCAGAGUUUUUGCUAUUACGU